rnacentral:rRNA from 1 species
AUUGAACGCUGGCGGCAUGCCUUACACAUGCAAGUCGAACGGCAGCACGGGUGCUUGCACCUGGUGGCGAGUGGCGAACGGGUGAGUAAUAUAUCGGAACGUACCUUAUUGCGGGGGAUAACGCAGCGAAAGCUGUGCUAAUACCGCAUAAUCCCUAAGGGGGAAAGCGGGGGACCGUAAGGCCCCGCGCAUUUAGAGCGGCCGAUACCUGAUUAGCUAGUUGGUGAGGUAAAGGCUCACCAAGGCAACGACCAGGAGCUGGUCUGAGAGGACGAUCAGCCACACUGGGACUGAGACACGGCCCAGACUCCUACGGGAGGCAGCAGUGGGGAAUUUUGGACAAUGGGGGCAACCCUGAUCCAGCAAUGCCGCGUGAGUGAAGAAGGCCUUCGGGUUGUAAAGCUCUUUUGUCAGGGAAGAAACAGCAGCUCUAACACAGUUUGCGAAUGACGGUACCUGAAGAAUAAGCACCGGCUAACUACGUGCCAGCAGCCGCGGUAA